GCAGGUAUCAUUUCCUCCCUUCUCUUUUUUUCAGCAAGUACAUUCAAGACAUAGCAAGGACAAGGAAUGACCCAAGCAGUGAGUCAAGCAUGUCACCAACUACUUGCUCAGGGCCUGACAGAGAUGCUUCAAAAUUCAAGAAUUUAAGGAAAUCUGUGUUUGUCACACCUCCCAAUCAGUGAACACAAGGUGGAAACCUAAAG